CCCUCCCUCUUUCUUCAUGCCUAACACAUGCAAGUCGAACGAGACCUUCGGGUCUAGUGGCGCACGGGUGCGUAACGCGUGGGAACCUGCCUUUAGGUUCGGAAUAACUCAGAGAAAUUUGAGCUAAUACCGGAUGAUGUCUUCGGACCAAAGAUUUAUCGCCUUUAGAUGGGCCCGCGUUGGAUUAGCUAGUUGGUGGGGUAAAGGCCUACCAAGGCGACGAUCCAUAGCUGGGCUGAGAGAAUGAUCAGCCACACUGGGACUGAGACACGGCCCAGACUCCUACGGGAGGCAGCAGUGGGGAAUAUUGGACAAUGGGCGAAAGCCUGAUCCAGCAAUGCCGGGUGAGUGAUGAAGGCCUGAGGGUUGUAAAGCUCGUUUACCCGAGAUGAUAAUGACAGUAUCGGGAGAAUAAGCGCCGGCUAACUCCGUG
rnacentral:rRNA from 1 species